GGCCGUCAUUGAAAAUAAGAAUUUGUUCUUAACUGACUUGCCUAGUUAAAUAAAGGUAAAAAAAAUAAAAAUUACAAGCACUGCCUUGUACACAAAUAUGUACCAAUGCCUUCUGGUAGGAAGUGAGGGCCAUUUCACCAUGUUAUAUAGUUGACAGGGAUGGGUGAGUGGUCUUGCAUUAGUUAUGAAUCCAACACAGAUAAAUAAAAUGGCCGUCGCACAAGAUCUUUCCUAACUGACAUAGAAAAUCAAGAUUUGUUCCUAUAAAAAUAAAAAUCUAAUUUCAUCUUCA